rnacentral:rRNA from 1 species
AAGUCGUAACAAGGUUUCCGUAGGUGAACCUGCGGAAGGAUCAUUACUGAAAAACUUUUCAAGUUUUUUUAUAUCCCAUUGUCUACCUACCAUGUUGCUUCCACUGGGCAUGUUUUACCUAUGUAAAACCUUUGGCUUGUGUGAAUAACACAAGUUAAGGAAGUUGCCGGUGGCAAGACCAUCUACCAAAACUCGAUUAAAAAUACUGUGUCUGAAUCUUUUGCUUCAAUGAAAUAAAACUUUCAACAACGGAUCUCUAGGCUCUUGCAUCGAUGAAGAACGCAGUGAAAUGCGAUAAGUAAUGUGAAUUGCAGAAUCUCGUGAAUCAUCGAAUCUUUGAACGCACAUUGCGCCCUAUGGUAUUCCGUAGGGCAUGCCUGUCUGAGCGUCAGCUCCCACCCACUCAAGCAUCUUUUAUUUGGGAUUCUUGGAAUGAUUUGGAGAGAUGUCUUGUCAUAGAGACGUCCUCCAGAAAUUCAUAGGCAGUAUGGUUUUCACCUGAACCAGACGUAAUAAUAAUAAAAUCGUUUGAUUGGGAAUAAUUGUGCUUGCCUUAACCCACCCAUUUUUCUCAUUUGGGUGACCUCAGAUCAGGUAGGGAUACCCGCUGAACUUAA